rnacentral:rRNA from 1 species
UACGAAGGGGGCUAGCGUUGCUCGGAAUUACUGGGCGUAAAGCGCACGUAGGCGGCUUUGUAAGUUAGAGGUGAAAGCCCGGGGCUCAACUCCGGAAUUGCCUUUAAGACUGCAUCGCUAGAAUUGUGGAGAGGUAAGUGGAAUUCCGAGUGUAGAGGUGAAAUUCGUAGAUAUUCGGAAGAACACCAGUGGCGAAGGCGGGUCUCUGGACAGUUCCUGACGCUGAGGCACGAAGGCCAGGGGAGCAAACGGG